rnacentral:rRNA from 1 species
UUGGAGGGCAAGUCUGGUGCCAGCAGCCGCGGUAAUUCCAGCUCCAAUAGCGUAUAUUAAAGUUGUUGCGGUUAAAAAGCUCGUAGUUGGUUCUGCGUGCCGCGCUGUCGGUUCGCCGCCUGUCGGUGUAACUGGCAUGUCGCGGCAUGUCCUGUCGGUGGUGAACGGAGUCCACGACGCUACAUGGGCUUUAUAGUCGAUGUUAGCAUCGUGUGUACUUCCGUUGGCCGAUCUCUCCUACUUCGGUGCUCUUAAACGAGUGUCGAGGUAGGCCGACACGUUCACUUUGAACAAAUUAGAGUGCUUAAAGCAGGCUGAAAUAUCUGCCUGAAUAGUGGUGCAUGGAAUGAUAAAACAGGACCUCGGUUCUAUUUUGUUGGUUUUAGGAAUAUGAGGUAAUGAUCAAUGUGGACUGGCGGGGGCAUUCGUAUUGCGACGUUAGAGGUGAAAUUCUUGGAUCGUCGCAAGACGCACUAGAGCGAAAGCAUUUGCCAAGUAUGUCUUAAUUGAUCAAGAACGAAAGUUAGAGGUUCGAAGGCGAUCAGAUACCGCCCUAGUUCUAACCAUAAACGAUGCCAGCCAGCGAUCCGCCGAUGUUCCUUUAAUGACUCGGCGGGGAGCUUCCACCCGGGAAACCAAAGC